rfam:Brachypodium distachyon strain Bd21 chromosome 4, whole genome shotgun sequence.
GUCGUAUUUCCUCCGUCCAAUAAAAGAUGUCUCGAGUUUGACAAAAUUUAGAUGUAUCUAGACAUGACUUAGUGUAUAGAUGCAUUCAAAUUUACUCAAAGUUGAGACAUCUUUUGUUGGACGGAGGAAUAUAUA